AACUCUGUUAUGUCAAAAAUUUGAUCACAUUCGAAAUUUAGACAGAAUGAUGCAAAAAAUAGUGUGUCAAAAUUGAUCCCAACAGUUCAGGGUUCAAUCUCUAGGGUAGUAGCAGGCUGGGCUCAGCAAAUCAUUUUAUUCUAAACAUUAAAAAAGGAAGUAUUGAGUCUUAUUUUGUACAAUUGAUUUAAUAACUAUUUUAUUCCAGAUUUCAGUAGGUUGAUUAAGUGAAACUACUAAAUUAGUUGAAAAAAUUUAAAUUCCACCAUUUUUCUGCUGAUUUUAUAUUUCCUUGGCAAUAAAUGUAUACAUGAAUUGUUAUCUUAUAUCUAUUUCAGUAGAUACCUGGCAAUAUAUCACUGAGAAUUGAUGUUUGUUCCUCCUGAUUGCUGCAGCUUUCCUGGUCAUAAGGAAUUAAUGCAGGUUCUUCAACUUCCUGUUCUUUAUCUGGAGGGGAAAAAAACAACUUAAAACUGCGGACAUAUGUAGCGAAUAUUAUUGAUGUGACAUCAAGAAUGCAGAAUUUUGAUAAAAAGGAAUAAUCAAACAAUUAAUGUGACGUUGAACGGUAAUUUGACAGUGGAGGACCCUCCAGUCUGAAGUUUGGUUCAUCAAUGCUGUCGUGGAAUACAACAUUUUCACCAUCAUAAUGCCACCAGAUCUGAUCACCAGGGAUAAUGAAAUCUGCUAUUCUUGCCAAAUGAGAUUGGACAACUGAUGAUUUUCCUGAUAGCAGUUUCUUUGUGAAGAUUGUAUUUUUCCUGUGUGGUAGACGCUUAGCUUGACGACUGAUGGUUGAGUCUUGCUUUGCAAAUGAGUCGCAUCUAUCAUCACUUUUCUGUUGCGCAUUGUAUCGUAUAAUUGUGUUGUCUAUUAUCCAACCGGGUUUCCUAUUAGUUGUAGUUUCCGCUAUUCUCCUUAAGCUUCCAAAUGAUCGUUCUUCCUGUUCACAUAAAAUUGAUUUUGUAUUUAUAAUCCGGUACACUUCUGGUAAAUGAACAACUAAACUGUGGAAAUGGCAACCGUACAGUUUUCUGGUGGUUAUUUUCACUGGUGUUCCUAUUACAGAUUUUGUUAAUACUCCAAAUAAAAAAGUAAGGUUAUACAACCGUAGUAUCUGCCGUGGUGAUCUUUUCUCCUCUGAGCUGUAUGCAAUGUUGAUUAUUUCAACUAAUACUUGAAUAAGGUUAACUGUAUCUUCAGAAAUUUUAUUAUGCUGUUGUUCAGUUGAUACAUAUUGAGCUAGUUGUAUAGCAAAAUGCCUUGCGUCAGAACCCUUAAUUUGAUUUUUAUCCCCAAUGGUCUUUGAACAAAAAUUUUCUAAUUCAGCUUUUGUUUCUUUAUUUUCUACAUGGUGGGGAAGUUCAGUAAUAAUGUUUUGUACGAUGUUACAUAUAUCAUGUAAUGGUUCACAGGGCAUUACUUCAUAGCCUUCAAUAUUCAUUUCUGUUGAUGUUUUAUCGGGUUGUGUCAUUAGUAAGGCAGGGGGUCUACAUAUUCCAUGGAGUACUGAGGUUAACUCUUCCUGUAAUCUUGACUUUAAAUUCAUAUGAAAAGUAUCAACCCCCCUUUCUUCAAGCUCAUCAAUUAAUUCUUCCUUUUUUAAGUUUUGAAAUGGAUUUAUUAUUCCGUCCUUAAUUUUCCUCCAGCAGGAACCCUCAACAACAAGUUUUCUUCUAUCCUCAAGAUCUAGGGGCGUCAUUUGAUAGCAGCAUUCCAAAUUCAUGUGGCUUUUACUUUCUACACCGCAAAUACAGCUAUAGUUUCCCCCUCUCUGUUGUCCUGCCUCAAAUUGCCUGGCUGGUCCAUCACCACUGAAAAGUCUAAGUUUGAAAACUAGAUCUACGUCUCCGUACCUUAUUUUGUUUGUCAAUUGUUUUAGGUCUUCAAUCCUUGCUUCAGUGUAACUUAUCUGGUCAAUAUCUUUGCUUGCUGAAACAUGAAAAAUUGUAAUUUUUUAAAUUAUUAGAAGUAUUUCACUUUAUUUGUACUGAUGACUAUCAUGACUAUGUAACUAAGGUGUGUAAAAUAACUUUAAUGCAUUGUAUGUAAACUGUUUUUGAUACCUUAAAAUUCAUAAAUCAUGUAAAUUUUGAAACAUAUCUUUGGUCACAUAUGAAUAGAUUGAAAUAUUUAUUAAAGGUGUUGCAUUCAUGCAAUGUUGUUGUUUAUAAGAAAUUUGCAUUUCAUUUAUAUUAUUGUUUGUAGAGGUCAGUAAAUUAGGAAA